rnacentral:rRNA from 1 species
AGCCUGCCCAGUGACAAAGUUCAACGGCCGCGGUACCCUAACCGUGCGAAGGUAGCAUAAUCACUUGUUCUCUAAAUAAGGACUUGUAUCAACGGCACUACGAGGGUUAUACUGUCUCCUUUUUCCAAUCAGUGAAACUGAUCUCCCCGUGAAGAAGCGGGGAUCAAAAUAUAAGACGAGAAGACCCCAUGGAGCUUUAAACUCACUGUACACCUCUAUGUUCCUAUAUCCUUAUAACACAAGAAACCUGUACAUUAGUUUUAGGUUGGGGGGACCACGGAGUACAACUUAACCUCCAUAACAAAUGGGCUAACACCCUUAUCCACGAGACACAACUCUAAGAAUUAAUAGACUAAUGCUUAUGACCCGAUAUUCGAUCAAUGAACCAAGUUACCCUGGGGAUAACAGCGCAAUCUACUUCAAGAGCUCAUAUCGACAAGUAGGUUUACGACCUCGAUGUUGGAUCAGGGUAUCCCGGUGGUGCAACCGCUACCAAUGGUUCGUUUGUUCAACGAUCAAAACCCUACGU